rnacentral:rRNA from 1 species
AGCAGCCGCGGUAAUUCCAGCUCCAAUAGCGUAUAUUAAAGUUGUUGCAGUUAAAAAGCUCGUAGUUGAAUUUCGGAGUUUGUCGGUUGGUCGGGCUUCACUGUCCGCACUGGCCUGAUGGAUUCCUACCUUCUGAAUAACCAGCAUGCUAUUAAUUUAGUGCGUUGGGGAAGCAGAGCUAUUACCUUGAAAAAUUAGAGUGCUUAAAGCAGGCUUAUGCUUGAAUAGAUUAGCAUGGAAUAAUAAAAUAGGACGGCAUGGUUCUAUUUUGUUGGUUUCUAGGAUCACCGUAAUGAUUAAUAGGGAUAGUUGGGGGCAUUAGUAUUCAAUUGUCAGAGGUGAAAUUCUUGGAUUUAUUGAAGACUAACUUCUGCGAAAGCAUUUGCCAAGGAUGUUUUCAUUAAUCAAGAACGAAAGUUAGGGGAUCGAAGACGAUCAGAUACCGCCGUA